rnacentral:lncRNA from 1 species
AUAAUAGUUUCUCAGCAUCAACCCUCACAUAGCAUAUCUAUUUUUCUAGUUUUGUUAUUCCUGGCAACUGAAACCCACGAGGACUUUCUCUUCAUAAUCCACAGGUUUCACUCCCCUACAACAAUUCUGAGUACUCAUCAAAUAUCCUAUUUCUUCUUCUUUAUCGAUGGAAUCACACAGCUCUCCUUUCCAUCCUCUGCAGUCUGAUAUGUGCAUGAGAGAGCAAGCAGAACAUUUUCUGUGCUCCAGAGUGGAGAAGGCCCCAAACUAUGCUGCAGCAAG